CAGUGAAUACUAGGGUGUGUUUAUUCCGUGUUUCACCGGUCCUUCCCGAACGAGACUUUGUAUUGCAGAAUAUUGAUGGAUUCAUAGAUUGCUUCUCUAGUUGUCAUACAUGGAUUGAAGACAUAUUUAACUCAACAAAAGAGGAAGCCAAAUAGAUUUGUGUUACGUCCUCAUCAUCAGCUGCUGGAUGCGAUGCUUUGCAUAAUCAUUUGUUAUGCAUAGGAGCCGGAAAAUUAUCGGUGAUUUUAGUCAACAUACCGGGUGUUCCGAAAAAAUCUGAAUACUCACAAAUUCACUUAUCACUUUUGAAGCAAUGUUUAUUUUUUCAAAAAUUUUGCCUCUACGCAAAGCAGCUGUUGUUUGUUGAACAGCACAACAAAACUCCGACCAAAUUUCCGAACCGUUCUGGAGAAAAUGGGCUCUGAACGAGACGUACGAGUUUUUGUCCGACCACUUUUGGGUUCUGGCAAAACACUAACCGAGAUCGCGACCCAGUUGGACAUCAGCAGGACGACCGUUUACAACAUCAAGCGCCGAGAAUCUCUUGAUAGGAAGCCUGGUAGUGGUAGGAAGUGUGUUCUUGAUCGUGAUUCCAUCAAGGCCGCUGUGGAGGCCAAUCCUCUCAAGUUCAUCAGAGAUUAGGCCAGAGAUUUUGGUGCAGCCUCAACCACAUGCCACAGGGCCAUCAAAAAGCUUGGAGGCAAGAGCUUGGUAAGGGUGGAAUGACCUUUGCUCAUUGAAAACAUGAAACUUGUUCAUCUCCACCGUUGUCAAGCUCUGCUGAACAAUUUGAAGUGUGCUCAAGGUGGUCGAGAUGUUGUGUUCAGUGAUGAGAAAACAUGGACAGUUGAUCCCGUCCAAAACCGUCAUAAUGACCGGUACCUGAGCUUUGGGGAGAUUGAUUAAUCGAUUUGAACUCUAACGACCACAAAGGACCCGGCUAGGUCCAUGUCACUUGGAUUUGUGGCUUCAAAUGGGAUUAUGGCUCCGCUAAUUUGGUUCCCAACCAUGUACAGGCUCACUGCAGCCGACUACGUCAAAGUCCUGGAAGAAAAAGUUAUCCCGUGGGUCCAGGAAAACUUUCCUGAUGGUAAUGUGGUGCUCCAGCAGAGUGGAGCACCUGCCCACGCCUCAAACUUGGCUCAGAACUUUCUCAAAGAAAAGUUGGAAAUUUUGGAAUUUUGGCCGCGCCACAUGUGGCCACCGUACAGCCCAGAUGCAAAUCCACUGGAUUUUGCUUUGUGGCCGCAUGUGGAGACCAAGGCCUGCCGAGUUCGCCACCCAAAUUUGGAAGCCAUGAAGUCGAUGGUUGACAAGCACUGGGCCGGGCCUCCAUGUCCAAGGAUUACAUGCGCCGCCUUCAAUAAGCAGUUGGAGGCCAUCAUUCAGUCUGAGGGAGUGCAUUUCUGGUUCUUGCACGAUUUACUCAAAGAAGUUUCCUGGAAAUUAGUGCUUUUACGAUGGCAUCAUCCUUGGACUCCAGAUGGGCGGCCCAUCUAAAACUACUCGAAUCGGAUGUCAAACGGAUCAGGAAUGGCUCAAAAUUGAAGCAGCCUCUGGGUUUAUAAUAUUUCUUAACAACGUCAGUCAGCAAGAGCAUGCUUUGGCUUUGACUUGGGUGCAAUUGCAAGAGCUGAAACGCCAGACCUUGGUCUGAAGAACCGCAACCAAUAAGUGAAAAUGACAAGAACUUGAAGGCACCGACUUCUGAAAAAUCAUCUUGUUCUUUGGCAUUGAGUUGCGAUAAGGAUGGCGCCUCCAAUCUUCCACGACAAUUUAAAUCCAACGAGGAUUUCAAGGACACAUAUAAGAAGACCGUAAAUUUGGGCCAAGGUGAAUCAACUGACUCCAUCGAAGAGGGUAGGAAUAAACUUUGGUUUCGUGAAUUUCCGCCCGACGAGAAAAAUAUAUCUCAAUCGAGAUUUAUUCCCGAGGAAUUCUUGGAGAACAUUCCAGAAAUUCCCAAAGAAUUCAAAGAUUCCUUUCGAACAGUUAAACAUAUUGUUUCUGCAUGUGAGAAAGUCUCUAAACUGAUUGCGAAAGAAGAGAAGAACGAUGACCCCACAGAUUUACUCCUCAAGAAGAUCAAAUGGGCUCAAUCUUUGCUUGAUGUUUGGCAAUUGGAGCAUCAUGAUCAGAUGAUUGUUCGACAGGAGCUUUGGAGAGAAGAAGAUUGGCUGGACACUCUGACUGCUCCAUUGUUCAAGGACAGGGACGAGCCCAAUUCCUUGUGG